rnacentral:lncRNA from 1 species
ACAACAAGUACUACUACUACAAAAACAACAACAACCACAACGAUGACAACAACGACGACAACAACAACAACGACGACAACAACGAGAACAACGACAACUACGACAGCAACAACAACGACAACAAGAACGACGACAACAACAUCGACAACAACAACAACAGCGACAACAACGACAACAACAAUAAGGAUGACGACAACGAAGAUAACAAC